rnacentral:rRNA from 1 species
CCUACGGGUGGCAGCAGUCGAGAAUCAUUCACAAUGGGGGAAACCCUGAUGGUGCGACGCCGCGUGGGGGAAUGAAGGUCUUCGGAUUGUAAACCCCUGUCAUGCGGGAGCAAAUUAAAAAGAUCGUACCACAAGAGGCAGAGACGGCUAACUCUGUGCCAGCAGCCGCGGUAAUACAGAGGUCUCAAGCGUUGUUCGGAAUCACUGGGCGUAAAGCGUGCGUAGGCUGUGUCGUAAGUCGUGUGUGAAAGGCGCGGGCUCAACCCGCGGACGGCACAUGAUACUGCGAGACUAGAGUAAUGGAGGGGGAACCGGAAUUCUCGGUGUAGCAGUGAAAUGCGUAGAUAUCGAGAGGAACACUCGUGGCGAAGGCGGGUUACUGGACAUUAACUGACGCUGAGGCACGAAGGCCAGGGGAGCGAAAGGGAUUAGAUACCCUAGUAGUC